UGAGAACUGAAUUCCAUGGGCUGGUCACGCAGUUUUCUUCCUCAGUCCAUAGUAGUCAGUUCUUCC
rnacentral:pre_miRNA from 1 species